rnacentral:rRNA from 1 species
UGUAACGGGGCUAAGUUGUAAACCGAAGCUGCGGCAAUGUUCUAUGAACAUUGGGUAGGGGAGCGUUCUGUAAGCCGUUGAAGGUGUGUUGUAAAGCAUGCUGGAGGUAUCAGAAGUGCGAAUGCUGACGAUGAGUAACGACAAGGGGGUGAAAACCUCCCCGCCGGAAGACCAAGGGUUCCUGUCCAACGUUAAUCGGGGCAGGGUAAGUCGACCCCUAAGGCGAGGCUGAAAAGCGUAGUCGAUGGGAAACGGGUUAAUAUUCCCGUACUUCUUACAAUUGCGAUGGGGGGACGGAGAAGGCUAGGUGGGCCUGGCGACGGUUGUCCAGGUUCAAGUGCGUAGGCUGAGUGUUUAGGUAAAUCCG